UUACUACUCCCUCCGUUCCAAAUUACUUGUCUUGGAUUUGUCUAGAUACGGAUGUAUCUAAACUCAUUUUAGUGCUAGAUACCAGACAAAUUUAAAACAAGUAAUUCGGAACGGAGAGAAUAGUUU
rfam:Triticum aestivum genome assembly, contig: Triticum_aestivum_CS42_TGACv1_scaffold_000612_1AL